rnacentral:sRNA from 1 species
GGCUGCGGCGCUGUGCCUGGGGGCGCAGGGGGUUGCCAUGGGGACGCGGUUCCUGGCGAGCGCGGAGGCGACGGUGUCGCGCGGCUACCAGGCGGAAGUGCUGCGGGUGGCGGACGGCGGGGUGAGCACAGUGCGCACCACGGUGUACGACGCUGUGCGCGGGUAUAAUGCGUGGCCGGCGCGGUAUGACGGGCGCGGGGUGGUGAAUGAGACGUUGCGGGAUAAGGAGGCGGGGAUGGACGAUGCGGAGAACCGGAGGCUAUAUAAGGAGGAGCUGGCGAAGGGGGAUGCCGGGUGGGGCCCGACGGGGCGCAUGACGACGUAUGCGGGGACGGGGAUUGGCUUGGUUAGGGAGGUGAAAUCUGCGGAGG